AGAGUUUGAUCAUGGCUCAGAUUGAACGCUGGCGGCAGGCCUAACACAUGCAAGUCGAGCGGUAACAGGGGUAGCUUGCUACCCGCUGACGAGCGGCGGACGGGUGAGUAACGCGUAGGAAUCUACCUAGUAGUGGGGGAUAGCCCAGAGAAAUUUGGAUUAAUACCGCAUAAUCUCUACGGAGUAAACGUCGAUCUGCUUGCAGACCUUUUGCUAUUAGAUGAGCCUGCGUCGGAUUAGCUAGUUGGUGGGGUAAAGGCCUACCAAGGCGACGAUCCGUAGCUGGUCUGAGAGGAUGAUCAGCCACACUGGAACUGAGACACGGUCCAGACUCCUACGGGAGGCAGCAGUGGGGAAUAUUGCACAAUGGGCGCAAGCCUGAUGCAGCCAUGCCGCGUGUGUGAAGAAGGCUCUAGGGUUGUAAAGCACUUUCAGUUGUGAGGAAAGGGGUGUAGUUAAUAGCUGCAUUCUGUGACGUUAACAACAGAAGAAGCACCGGCUAACUUCGUGCCAGCAGCCGCGGUAAUACGAGGGGUGCAAGCGUUAAUCGGAAUUACUGGGCGUAAAGCGUUCGUAGGCGGUCUAUUAAGCAAGAUGUGAAAGCCCAGGGCUCAACCUUGGAACUGCAUUUUGAACUGGUAGACUAGAGUACUGUAGAGGGUGGUGGAAUUUCCAGUGUAGCGGUGAAAUGCGUAGAUAUAGGAAGGAACACCAGUGGCGAAGGCGACUUACUGGACCAAUACUGACACUGAGGUGCGAAAGCGUGGGGAGCAAACGGGAUUAGAUACCCCGGUAGUCCACGCCGUAAACGAUGUCUACUAGCCGUUGGGAGACUUGAUCUCUUAGUGGCGCAGCUAACGCAAUAAGUAGACCGCCUGGGGAGUACGGCCGCAAGGUUAAAACUCAAAUGAAUUGACGGGUGCCCGCACAAGAGGUGCAGCAUGUGGUUUCAUUCGAUGCAACGCGAAGAACCUUACCUGGCCUUGACAUCCUUGGAAUUUCGCAGAAACGUGAAAGUGCCUUCGGGAACGUAGUGACAGGUGCUGCAUGGCUGUCGUCAGCUCGUGUUGUGAAAUGUUGGGUUAAGUCCCGUAACGAGCGCAACCCUUAUCCUUAUUUGCCAGCACGUAAUGGUGGGAACUCUAGGGAUACUGCCGGUGACAAACCGGAGGAAGGUGGGGACGACGUCAAGUCAUCAUGGCCCUUACGACCAGGGCUACACACGUGCUACAAUGGACGGUACAGAGGGUUGCCAAGCCGCGAGGUGGAGCUAAUCCCAUAAAACCGUUCGUAGUCCGGAUUGGAGUCUGCAACUCGACUCCAUGAAGUCGGAAUCGCUAGUAAUCGUGAAUCAGAAUGUCACGGUGAAUACGUUCCCGGGCCUUGUACACACCGCCGUU
rnacentral:rRNA from 1 species